AGGAGUUUGGAAUGCUACAUUUUUUUUUAACAUAAUGGGUUUUUUUUUCUUUUUUGGACAAAAUCUAUAAUUUAAUUGGCAUGGGAAAUUCCAUACAAUGCAAAUUUCACCAAGCUGUUCUCCGCGAAUUUCCUGGAACCCUGAUUAAUCAAGUGACUUGCUUUGGGUCACGAGGCCAGAAUGUGUCAGAGGCGGGACUGAUUCCAGAAGUCUACUUCCAGGCCAUUUUAUUCUUCAAGCCAACUUCCCUCUAAUUAAAUUGACCCAUGUUCUUUAAAAUGUUCAACCUUCUUUCAAAGGCCACACUCUGCUUCCUUGGUUCAUGAUGCUGAUAUUUGUUCAAAGUUUUGUCCUUAGCCCACCCCACCCCUGUCCCUUACUACCCACAUAAUCUUAAAUCAUUAAGCCACUUUGGGACUAGGUUUCUUUCUUUUUUUUUUAAUGAAUUGGUUGAACUAAAUAUAGAUAGCCUCUAAGGCCCCUUCUAUUUCUAAAUUUAUGAACCUAUGCAUCUCCUCACACAUUCCAAAGUUAAGACCUCUCCCUGGACUUCCAGAUCAGGAUUCCAGCUCUCUAAAGACCAAUCAUUUUGAAUUGAGUCAGCAUUUAUUAAAAGUAAACCUCAUAUAUGACAUCAAAUAUAUGAGUGAAAUGAAGAGAAGAAGAGAAGAGAGAGCUCUCAGCAUAUAACCUCAAUAUCUUCAGUGAAAUAUGAUAUGAGGUCUCAUGGAGAAGUUGAAGGAAAGGGGUGCAGUGGAAGAUCUGAUGAGAGAUCAGAAAAGUUGGAACAUCCCUAUGGUAAGUGGGUAGGGAGUCAAUUAGGGAGGAGAGAAGGUUGGCCUUGCUACUCUGAGAAUUCUUUUGAAAUGAAAUAGCACAAAUAUAUAAUGGAUUCUAUCAGCACAAUUUCAUGAUUUUCUCUAGCCACUUUCAACAGCAUAUGAAGAGGAGCAAAGUGGGGAGAAGAUGGGAGUAAUCCAAGAUUUGGAAAAUCAUGAUAGGCAAUAGGAUGAGUUA
rnacentral:lncRNA from 1 species